GAUGAACGCUGGCGGCGUGCCUAAUACAUGCAAGUCGAGCGAACAGACGAGGAGCUUGCUCCUCUGCCGUUAGCGGCGGACGGGUGAGUAACACGUGGAUAACCUACCUAUAAGACUGGGAUAACUUCGGGAAACCGGAGCUAAUACCGCAUAAUAUAUUGAACCGCAUGGUUCAAUAGUGAAAGACGGUUUUGCUGUCACUUAUAGAUGGAUCCGCGCCGCAUUAGCUAGUUGGUAAGGUAACGGCUUACCAAGGCGACGAUGCGUAGCCGACCUGAGAGGGUGAUCGGCCACACUGGAACUGAGACACGGUCCAGACUCCUACGGGAGGCAGCAGUAGGGAAUCUUCCGCAAUGGGCGAAAGCUUGACGGAGCAACGCCGCGUGAGUGAUGAAGGUCUUCGGAUCGUAAAGCUCUGUUAUUAGGGAAGAACAAAUGUGUAAGUAACUAUGCACGUCUUGACGGUACCUAAUCAGAAAGCCACGGCUAACUACGUG
rnacentral:rRNA from 1 species